AGAGCGAACGCUGGCGGCAGGCCUAACACAUGCAAGUCGAACGGACCCUUCGGGGUUAGUGGCGGACGGGUGAGUAACACGUGGGAACGUGCCUUUUGGUUCGGAAUAGCUCCUGGAAACGGGUGGUAAUGCCGAAUGUGCCCUUCGGGGGAAAGAUUUAUCGCCAUUAGAGCGGCCCGCGUCUGAUUAGCUAGUUGGUGAGGUAAUGGCUCACCAAGGCGACGAUCAGUAGCUGGUCUGAGAGGAUGACCAGCCACAUUGGGACUGAGACACGGCCCAAACUCCGUACGGGAGCAGCAGGUGGGGAAUC
rnacentral:rRNA from 1 species